rnacentral:tRNA from 1 species
CAAGGAAUAGUUUAAUCAGAACCCCGGCUUUGGGAGCUAGUAGUAGGAGUUGAAAUCUCUUUUCUUUGA